rfam:Ovis aries breed Texel chromosome 7, whole genome shotgun sequence.
UGGCUCAGAUGGUAAAGCAUCUGCCUACAAUGCAGGAGACCCGGGUUCGAUCCCUGG